rnacentral:tRNA from 1 species
GCCUGGGUGGCUCAAUCAGUUAAGCAUCCGACUUUGGCUCAGGUCAUGAUCUCACAGUUCGUGGGUUCGAGCCCCACGUCGGGCU